CGCACCUUGCGCUCCUUGGUAUUCCGAGGAGCAUGCCUGUUUGAGUGUCAUUAAAUUCUCAACCAUUUCAGUUUUUUUUGUAAGCUGGGAUUGGCUUGGAUGUGGAGGUUUUCUUGCGGGCUUCUCAGAAGUCGGCUCCUCUUAAAUGCAUUAGUGGAACCUUUGUGAACCAGCUUUGGUGUGAUAAUUAUCUACGCCAUAGUUGUGAAGUAGCUUUAUAUGGGGUUCAGCUUCUAACUGUCUAUUGACUUGGACAAAAUUAUGACAUUUUUGACCUCAAAUCAGGUAGGAUUACCCGCUGAACUUAA
rnacentral:misc_RNA from 1 species